UAUAUGGUUCAUCUUCGGUAUUUUUUUUUAUAAUUUGAUGUUUAUCAGCAUUUUACUCAUUAUUGUCAAAAAUUGUUGCUUUUGAUCGAGAAAGAAAUGGAGAAAUCGUCAAAGCAUGCUUCACUUCCAUUGGUUUUGUUCGAAUUCUCAGAUAAUUUUAAUAACUCUGUUUUUGGUGUUGGAACACUAAGUUCCAUUUUUAAACCUCCCCUUCCAGACAGUUUGAGUGAAAGUGUUCUUGUGGUGCAUUCUUGGAUCUCAGACAACGAACAACUCACUAUUUGGUGGCACAAAAGAACUAAGAACAAUUGGAAUGACAAAAUCUAUGGAAGUAAUUCAACUGAGGGGCCGGAUGAUGAAUUUAGAUCUAAUCGACCACUCAUGUUAUCUGGUAAGUUCAAAGUCUUGUUCGUCCUUGUA
rnacentral:lncRNA from 1 species